rnacentral:rRNA from 1 species
UACGUAGGGUGCAAGCGUUAAUCGGAAUUACUGGGCGUAAAGCGUGCGCAGGCGGUUUUGCAAGACAGGUGUGAAAUCCCCGGGCUUAACCUGGGAACUGCACUUGUGACUGCACGGCUGGAGUACGGCAGAGGGGGAUGGAAUUCCGCGUGUAGCAGUGAAAUGCGUAGAUAUGCGGAGGAACACCGAUGGCGAAGGCAGUCCCCUGGGCCUGUACUGACGCUCAUGCACGAAAGCGUGGGGAGCAAACAGG